rnacentral:rRNA from 1 species
UGGGGAAUUUUGGACAAUGGGCGAAAGCCUGAUCCAGCAAUGCCGCGUGUGUGAAGAAGGCCUUCGGGUUGUAAAGCACUUUUGUCCGGAAAGAAAUCCUUGGCUCUAAUACAGUCGGGGGAUGACGGUACCGGAAGAAUAAGCACCGGCUAACUACGUGCCAGCAGCCGCGGUAAUACGUAGGGUGCAAGCGUUAAUCGGAAUUACUGGGCGUAAAGCGUGCGCAGGCGGUUUGCUAAGACCGAUGUGAAAUCCCCGGGCUCAACCUGGGAACUGCAUUGGUGACUGGCAGGCUAGAGUAUGGCAGAGGGGGGUAGAAUUCCACGUGUAGCAGUGAAAAUGCGUAGAGAUGUGGAGGAAUACCGAUGGCGAAAGGCAGCCCCCUGGGCCAAAUACUGACGCUCAUGCACGAAAGCGUGGGGAGCAAAACAGGAUUAGAUACCCUGGUAGUCCACGCCCUAAAACGAUGUCAACUAGUUGUUGGGGAUUCAUUUCCUUAGUAACGUAGCUAAACGCGUGAAGUUGACCGCCUGGGGAGUACGGUCGCAAAGAUUAAAAACUCAAAAUGAAUUGACGGGGGUCAUAGCUGUUUCCU